rnacentral:rRNA from 1 species
AGUGAACGCUGGCGGUAGGCCUAACACAUGCAAGUCGAACGGCAGCACAGUAAGAGCUUGCUCUUACGGGUGGCGAGUGGCGGACGGGUGAGGAAUACAUCGGAAUCUACUUUUUCGUGGGGGAUAACGUAGGGAAACUUACGCUAAUACCGCAUACGACCUACGGGUGAAAGCAGGGGAUCUUCGGACCUUGCGCGAUUGAAUGAGCCGAUGUCGGAUUAGCUAGUUGGCGGGGUAAAGGCCCACCAAGGCGACGAUCCGUAGCUGGUCUGAGAGGAUGAUCAGCCACACUGGAACGUGGACACGGUCCAGGCUCCUACGGGAGGGAGCAGUGGGGAAUAUUGGACAAUGGGGGCAAGCCUGAUCCAGCCAUACCGCGUGGGUGAAGAAGGCCUUCGGGUUGUAAAGCCCUUUUGUUGGGAAAGAAAAGCAGCAGGUUAAUACCCCGCUGUUCUGACGGUACCCAAAGAAUAAGCACCGGCUAACUUCGUG